UUGACCCUAUAACUACCGCAAUAAUGUUUAUUACUCUUCCAAACUUAGCCCAAUCCCUCUCAUCCACUCAUACUCACAAAUUCUUUCAGGGGUUUCUUCUCCAAGUUCUCUCCAAGGAUCUUCAAUUCAAUUAGGAUUUCAUCAAGCUUCAAGCAGUGAGAGGACUUCGAGAUAGAGGUCUUCCCAUUAUGAAAGGAUCCAACGUUCCUCCUCUUGGAUGUGGAUAGACAGAGAUUGCUCUACUACAACUGGAUUGGUUAAUCAUCAUAUUUUGAGAGCAAGGCUAUGGACUGCUUUAUUGCUUUUUGAUGUCAUUGAAUUUUCAGCUAUCAUUUAUGACAUAUGGGUUUGAUCUAGUCACAUUUAUGAGUAAAAAAGGCUUAUGUCAAACUUAGUAGUAUUUCACAUGUUCACUUAUGUACUCAGUUGAUAUCUCUUAUCUCAUUUACAAUGUUGAGACUUA